rnacentral:rRNA from 1 species
AUUGAACGCUGGCGGCAUGCUUUACACAUGCAAGUCGAACGGUAACAGGCCUUCGGGUGCUGACGAGUGGCGAACGGGUGAGUAAUGCAUCGGAACGUACCCAGAGGUGGGGGAUAACGCAGCGAAAGCUGUGCUAAUACCGCAUGUGAUCUGAGGAUGAAAGCGGGGGACCGAGCAGCAAUGUUUGGCCUCGCGCCUUUGGAGCGGCCGAUGUCGGAUUAGCUAGUUGGUGGGGUAAAGGCCUACCAAGGCGACGAUCCGUAGCUGGUCUGAGAGGACGACCAGCCACACUAGGACUGAGACACGGCCCAGACUCCUACGGGAGGCAGCAGUGGGGAAUUUUGGACAAUGGGCGCAAGCCUGAUCCAGCAAUGCCGCGUGCGGGAAGAAGGCCUUCGGGUUGUAAACCGCUUUUGGCAGGAACGAAACGGUGUCCGCUAAUACCGGGCGCUAAUGACGGUACCUGCAGAAGAAGCACCGGCUAACUACGUG